rnacentral:rRNA from 1 species
ACGGCUCAGUAACACGUGGACAACCUACCCUCAGCACGGGGAUAAACCCGGGAAACUGGGUAUAAUACCCGAUAGUUCUGGGAUGCUGGAAUGCUUCCAGGACGAAAGCUCCGGCGACUGAGGAUGGGUCUGCGGCCUAUCAGGUAGUAGUGGGUGUAAUGUACCUACUAGCCUACGACGGGUACGGGUCGUGAGAGCGAGGGCCCGGAGAUGGAUUCUGAGACACGAAUCCAGGCCCUACGGGGUGCAGCAGGCGCGAAAACUUUACAAUGCUGGCAACAGCGAUAAGGGGACCUCGAGUGCCAGGAUACAAUCUUGGCUGUCGUGAUGCCUAAAAAGCAUUACAUAGCAAGGGCCGGGCAAGACCGGUGCCAGCCGCCGCGGUAACACCGGCGGCUCGAGUGGUAACCGCUAUUAUUGGGUCUAAAGGGUCUGUAGCCGGCCGGAUAAGUCUUUUGGGAAAUCCAGCUGCUCAACAGUUGGGCUUUCAGAAGAUGCUGUUCGGCUCGAGGCCGGGAGAGGUGAGAGGUACUUCAGGGGUAGGGGUGAAAUCUUGUAAUCCUUGAAGGACCACCAGUGGCGAAGGCGUCUCACCAGAACGGUCCUGACGGCAAGGGACGAAAGCUAGGGGCACGAACCGGAUUAGAUACCCGGGUAGUCCUAGCCGUAAACGAUACUCGCUAGGUGUCAGCCACGGUGCGACCGUGGUUGGUGCCGUAGGGAAGCCGUGAAGCGAGCCACCUGGGAAGUACGGCCGCAAGGCUGAAACUUAAAGGAAUUGGCGGGGGAGCAC